UACGUAGGGGGCUAGCGUUGUCCGGAUUUAUUGGGCGUAAAGAGCGUGUAGGCGGCCAGAUAGGUCUGCUGUGAAAACUCGAGGCUCAACCUCGAGAUGUCGGCGGAAACCAUUUGGCUAGAGUCCGGAAGAGGAAAGUGGAAUUCCUGGUGUAGCGGUGAAAUGCGCAGAUAUCAGGAAGAACACCCGUGGGCGAAGGCGGCUUUCUGGGACGGUACUGACGCUGGAGACGCGAAAGCGUGGGGAGCGAACAGG
rnacentral:rRNA from 1 species